UUACGGUCAAAUCACGCUGAAAACACCGGUUCUCGUUCGAUCACCGAAGUUAAGCAUCGUAGAGCCAGAUCAGUACUUAAAUGGGGGACCGCUUGGGAACACCUGGUACUGUAAG
rnacentral:rRNA from 1 species